rnacentral:sRNA from 1 species
AAGAAUUUUUCCGGGGGGGGUGCUGCGGAAGGAUCAUGACAGAGUUCAUGCCCGAAAGGGUAGACCUCCCAGCCUUGUGUAUUAUUACUUUGUUGCUUUGGCGAGCUGCCUUCGGGCCUUGUAUGCUCGCCAGAGGAUAAUUAAACUCUUUUUAUAAUGUCGUCUGAGUACUAUAUAAUAGUUAAAACUUUCAACAACGGAUCUCUUGGUUCUGGCAUCGAUGAAGAACGCAGCGAAAUGCGAUAAGUAAUGUGAAUUGCAGAAUUCAGUGAAUCAUCGAAUCUUUGAACGCACAUUGCGCCCCUUGGUAUUCCGGGGGGCAUGCCUGUUCGAGCGUCAUUUCAACCCUCAAGCACAGCUUGGUAUUGAGUCUAUGUCAGUAAUGGCAGGCUCUAAAAUCAGUGGCGGCGCCGCUUGUUCCUGAACGUAGUAAUAUCUCUCGUUACAGGUUCUCAGUGUGCUUCUGCCAAAACCCAAAUUUUCUAUGGUUGACCUCGGAUCAGGUAGGGAUACCCGCUGAACUUAAGCAUAUAAAAACC